AGUGAACGCUGGCGGUAGGCCUAACACAUGCAAGUCGAACGGCAGCACAGUAAGAGCUUGCUCUUACGGGUGGCGAGUGGCGGACGGGUGAGGAAUACAUCGGAAUCUACUUUUUCGUGGGGGAUAACGUAGGGAAACUUACGCUAAUACCGCAUACGACCUACGGGUGAAAGCAGGGGAUCUUCGGACCUUGCGCGAUUGAAUGAGCCGAUGUCGGAUUAGCUAGUUGGCGGGGUAAAGGCCCACCAAGGCGACGAUCCGUAGCUGGUCUGAGAGGAUGAUCAGCCACACUGGAACUGAGACACGGUCCAGACUCCUACGGGAGGCAGCAGUGGGGAAUAUUGGACAAUGGGCGCAAGCCUGAUCCAGCCAUACCGCGUGGGUGAAGAAGGCCUUCGGGUUGUAAAGCCCUUUUGUCGGGAAAGAAAAGCAGCAGGUUAAUACCCCGCUGUUCUGGCGGUACCCAAAGAAUAAGCACCGGCUAACUUCGUG
rnacentral:rRNA from 1 species